UACGAAGGGGGCUAGCGUUGUUCGGAUUUACUGGGCGUAAAGCGCACGUAGGCGGACUUUUAAGUCAGAGGUGAAAUCCCAAGGCUCAACCUUGGAACUGCCUUUGAUACUGGAAGUCUUGAGUAUGGUAGAGGUUGGUGGAACUGCGAGUGUAGAGGUGAAAUUCGUAGAUAUUCGCAAGAACACCAGUGGCGAAGGCGGCCAACUGGACCAUUACUGACGCUGAGGUGCGAAAGCGUGGGGAGCAAACAGG
rnacentral:rRNA from 1 species